rnacentral:rRNA from 1 species
GGUGAACGCUGGCGGCGUGGCUAAGGCAUGCAAGUCGAACGCCUUUCAUUAGCAAUAGUGAAAGGAGUGGCAAACGGGUGCGUAACACAUUGGUAAUCUACCUCUAACUCGUGAAUAAGCCUUUGAAAAAGGGUCUAAUACACGAUGGUCUGUACUGGCGCAAGCUUUGUACAGUAAAGUUCCGGCGGUUAGAGAGGAGCCUAUGGCCCAUCAGCUAGUUGGCAGGGUAAAAGCCUACCAAGGCAACGACGGGUAGCGGGUGUGAGAGCACGACCCGCCUCACUGGGACUGAGACACUGCCCAGACUCCUACGGGAGGCUGCAGUCGCGAAUAUUCCUCAAUGCACGAAAGUGUGAAGGAGCGACGCCGUGUGAUUGAAGAAGCCCUUCGGGGUGUAAAAAUCUUUUAUUUGGGACGAACUAAUGACGGUACCAAAUGAAUAAGGGGCUGCUAACCUCGUGCCAGCAGCAGCGGUAAUACGAGGGCCCCAAGCGUUACCCGGAUUUAUUGGGCGUAAAGCGUGUGUAGGUGGUUUUUUAAGUCAGCGGUUAAAUCCCUCGGCUCAACUGAGGACCAGCCGCUGAUACUGUGAAACUUGAGUCUGGAAGAGGCAAGCGGAAUUGCCGGUGUAGGGGUCAAAUCCGUUAAUAUCGGCAGGAACACCAAAUGCGAAGGCAGCUUGCUAGGACAGUACUGACACUCAAACACGAAAGCGUGGGGAGCGAAGCGGAUUAGAUACCCGCGUAGUCCACGCCCUAAACUUUGGAUACUAGACAUUGGGAGUAUCGACCCUCUCAGUGUCGUUCAAAAAAGCUAACGCGUUAAGUAUCCCGCCUGGGGAGUACGGCCGCAAGGCUAAAACUCAAAGGAAUUGACGGGGACUCGCACAAGCGGUGGAGCACGUGGUUUAAUUCGAUAGUAACCGGGGAACCUCACCAGGGUUUGAAAUCUAGCUGCAAGCCUCUAGAAAUAGGGGCCUCCUUCGAGGGUGCUAGACAGGUGCUGCAUGGUUGUCGUCAGCUCGUGCCGUGAGGUGUACGGUUAAGUCCGAUAACGAGCGCAACCCUCAUCCUGAUUUAUACUUUAUCAGGAAACUGCCUCGGAUAACGAGGAGGAAGGUGGGGAUGACGUCAAAUCAGCAUGGCUCUUACAUCCUGGGCAACACACAUGCUACAAUGGCCGGUACAAAGGGUCGCCAAGCCGUAAGGCGGAGCUAAUCCUUAAAACCGGUCUCAGUUCAGAUUGAGGUCUGCAACUCGACCUCAUGAAGCUGGAAUCGCUAGUAACCGUGAAUCAGAACGUCACGGUGAAUACGUUCUCGAGUCUUGUACACACCGCCCGUCAAGUCAAGAAAGUCGGUAAUACCCGAAUAGCGUUGUAGGACUCUAGAAGGUAGGAUCGAUGAUAGGGGC